UUGUCCCCCCCCCCCAGUUUUCUCUAAAAUUAUUAUACACAAUUAUGAUGCACGUUCUUAGGAAACACAACUGUCCUGCAUAAUUAUUUCAUUUGUUCUGUCCUGGAUAUGUCCUGUGUGUCCUGUUUCGUUCAUUAAAAUAAUGCCGUUCUUCACAAAUAGAUCAUGUCACGUUUUGAAGAUCAAAUUUGGGUUUUGAAACCGACACUUCGCUUCCCUUGCUUCUCGCCUCUCGAAACGAUUCCAAAUAGGGGGCAACUCAAGGAGGAAGGUGCAGUGCUGUCUGCACAUGCUCAGGGGCCACAGCCUUCUCCGUCCUGACACGGAAAGUUCUUCCUUGUGUCCUUGCAGGGCAGGUGCCUAACGAGACCAGGCAGAACGGGCAGAGCUGCACCAGGGGGCUGCCCAAACCGGUCUGCAUGAAUGGGACGGAGUCUGCUCAGCUGGUCAGCAAGACGAAAGCCGAGCGGAGGGCCAGCGCCUCUUCCAACCCUUCUCGCAAGACCUCUUCCGCCAGCAGCAAGAUCCGCAAACUCUCGACCUGCAAGCAGCAGUGACCCCAGCUGGACUGCGCCCGCCACGCCCGAGUUCCAGAUUGUCUGCUGCCCUAAAGCAGCUCCCCCACCCCCAAUCUCCUCCUUCCCACCCACCCACCUGUAGCAGAUCACCUGUAGAACAAGCUUGCAAUCAAACCAAGAAGAAG